rnacentral:rRNA from 1 species
AUUGAACGCUGGCGGCAGGCCUAACACAUGCAAGUCGAACGAGAGGCGGACGGGUGAGAAAUGUCUGGGAAACUGCCCGAUGGAGGGGGAUAACUACUGGAAACGGUAGCUAAUACCGCAUACCCUCGGAUGUGCCCAGAUGGGAUUAGCUAGUAGGUGGGGUAACGACUCACCUAGGCGACGAUCCCUAGCUGGUCUGAGAGGAUGACCCGCCACACUGGAACUGAGACACGGUCCAGACUCCUACGGGAGGCAGAAGUGGGGAAUAUUGCACAAUGGGCGCAAGCCUGAUGCAGCCAUGCCGCGUGUAUGAAGAAGGCCUUCGGGUUGUAAAGUACUUUCAGCGAGGAGGCGUUACUCGCAGAAGAAGCACCGGCUAACUCCGUGCCAGCCGCCGCGGUAAUUC